GAUAGCUGGUUCUCCCCGAAAUAGCUUUAGGGCUAGCGUCGAGGUAAGUUGCGUGAAGGUAGAGCACUGAAUAUGUGAUGGCCCCAUCUCGGGGUACUGAGCAUAAUCAAACUGCGAAUGUCACGCCAACAUGCUCGGCAGUCAGACAGCGGGUGAUAAGGUCCGUUGUCAAGAGGGAAACAGCCCAGACCAUCAGCUAAGGUCCCAAAAUGUAUGCUAAGUGGAAAAGGAUGUGGAGAUGUACAGACAACUAGGAGGUUGGCUCAGAAGCAGCCAUCCUUUAAAGAGUGCGUAACAGCUCACUAGUCGAAUGACUCUGCGCCGAUAAUUUACCGGGGCUAAGCAUACUACCGAAGCUAUGGAUCCCAAGGGAUGGUAGGGGAGCGUUCCAUGAACGGAGAAGUACGACCGAAAGGACGUGUGGAGAUCAUGGAAGAGAGAAUGCCGGUGUGAGUAGCGGAACGUGGGUGAGAAUCCCACGCACCGAAAACCCAAGGUUUCCAGAGGAAGGUUCGUCCGCUCUGGGUAAGUCGGGACCUAAGGCGAGGCCGAGAGGCGUAGUCGAUGGACAACAGGUAGAGAUUCCUGUACCCGUAUAUAUGUGAAGGAAUGACGGAGAGAGGAAGCUGCAGCCAGCGGCUGGAAGAGCUGGUGCAAGCGAGAUAUCGGGAUGGCAGGCAAAUCCACCAUCCGAAACGAGAAGGCGUGAAGCGUACGGAAAGCUACGGCGAGUACGGAAGGCAGUGGAGGAACUUCCAAGAAAAGUUUCUAACGUUAAGUAUAUAUGGCCCGUACCGAAAAUGGACACACAUGGGUGAGGAGAGAAUCCUAAGGUGAGCGAGAGAACUAUAGCUAAGGAACUCUGCAAAAUGACUCCGUAACUUAGGGAGAAGGAGUGCUCAUAGAGAUAUGAGCCGCAGUGAAACGGCCCAAGCGACUGUUUACCAAAAACACAGCUCUCUGCUAAGCCGCAAGGCGAAGUAUAGGGGGUGACGCCUGCCCGGUGCUGGAAGGUUAAGGGGAGGGGUUAACGCAAGUGAAGCCCUGAACUGAAGCCCCAGUAAACGGCGGCCGUAACUAUAACGGUCCUAAGGUAGCGAAAUUCCUUGUCAGGUAAGUUCUGACCCGCACGAAAGGCGUAACGAUUUGGGCGCUGUCUCAGCUGUAGACUCGGUGAAGUCUUAGUACCUGUGAAGAUGCA
rnacentral:rRNA from 1 species